GACGAACGCUGGCGGCGUGCCUAACACAUGCAAGUCGAACGGAAAGGCCCUGCCUUUGUGGGGUGCUCGAGUGGCGAACGGGUGAGUAACACGUGAGUAACCUGCCCCUGACUUUGGGAUAACUUCAGGAAACUGGGGCUAAUACCGGAUAGGAGCUCCUGCUGCUUGGUGGGGGUUGGAAAGUUUAGGUGGUUGGGGAUGGACUCGCGGCUUAUCAGCUUGAUGGUGGGGUAGUGUCUUACCAAGGUCUGGACGGGUAGCCGGGCUGAGAGGGUCGCAGGCCCAGUUAGAACGGGGAUGAGGCCCGGACUACAAUCGGAGGGGACGGAGGGGAGGAGUACACUAUAGACGGAGGGCUGAUGCGACAAAGCCGCGUGGGGGGAGUGAGGAUGGGGGUUGGGAACCAAUUUCGCCUGAGACGGGACGUGAAUGACAGUAAUGGGUGAAGAAGCACCGGCUAACUACGUG
rnacentral:rRNA from 1 species